CCUACGGGAGGCAGCAGUGGGGAAUAUUGGGCAAUGGGCGCAAGCCUGACCCAGCAACGCCGCGUGAAGGAAGAAGGCUUUCGGGUUGUAAACUUCUUUUGUCAGGGACGAAGCAAGUGACGGUACCUGACGAAUAAGCCACGGCUAACUACGUGCCAGCAGCCGCGGUAAUACGGAGGUGGCAAGCGUUAUCCGGAUUUACUGGGUGUAAAGGGCGUGUAGGCGGGGAAGCAAGUCAGAUGUGAAAACCACGGGCUCAACCUGUGGCCUGCAUUUGAAACUGUUUUUCUUGAGUGCUGGAGAGGCAAUCGGAAUUCCGUGUGUAGCGGUGAAAUGCGUAGAUAUACGGAGGAACACCAGUGGCGAAGGCGGAUUGCUGGACAGUAACUGACGCUGAGGCGCGAAAGCGUGGGGAGCAAACAGGAUUAGAUACCCCUGUAGUC
rnacentral:rRNA from 1 species